rfam:Cellulophaga phage phi38:1, complete genome.
CCUCCGUUGCGCCAAAUUGGAAAGGCGGUCAAGCUGUGAACUUGAUUACAUGGGUUCGAUUCCCAUACGGUUGU